GACGAACGCUGGCGGCGUGCCUAAUACAUGCAAGUCGAACGCAGUUGCGAACGGGUGAGUAACGCGUAGGUAACUGCCUCAUAGCGGGGGAUAACUAUUGGAAACGAUAGCUAAUACCGCAUACUGUGAGAUGGACCUGCGUUGUAUUAGCUAGUUGGUGAGGUAAAGGCUCACCAAGGCGACGAUACAUAGCCGGUCUGGGAGGGGGAGCGGCUAAACCGGGACUUGAACAAGGGCCAGAACCCUAAGGGAGGCAGCAGGAGGGGAACUUCGGAAAUUGGCGGAAGUCCGGACGAGCCAAGCCGGGGGAGUGAAGGAGGUUUUCGGAUCGGAAAGGUAUGUUGUUAGAGAAGCGGUAACAAACCAAAAAGGGACGGCUAACUACGUGCCAGCAGCCGCGGUAAUAC
rnacentral:rRNA from 1 species